AACGAGGCGAUUAAUAUAUUCACUAAGAGGUUUAGGACUAACAUGAAUCACAAUUGAAGCUUCACCUUAAAUCUCAGCGAUAUGGAAGAUGGCAGCACAACAUAACUUUAUUGGUCAUUUCUUCGCGUUUCUAAGUUUCCAAAGUGAUCCAUUUAUGCCAACAAGAGGGAGAUUUUAGAAAACGAUUGAAGGAACUACGAGAAAGAAAGCUUCCUACGAUCAGUUGGAUUAUCCUUCAUUUCGUAUCCACCACAUCAUCUAACUUCUGUUUUCCAGAGGAAAUAUCCAAGUUGGCGGCUAUGGCUUUCGAUAUCAACUAAACGGAAGAAUAUACCCUCAACGGCCAGGUUGGAUUUAACAAUGGAAGUCAAACAUCUUUAAUUAAAAAUUUACUGACUCAUCUAAUUGUUAUCGUUUCCACUUCUUGAACAACGACCGCCGAAACCAUCUUUAAGAUCGAGAUCUCAAUCGGCUCGGUGACCUGUUAAGUAAAACAUGUGGAUUGCUUACUCAAUUUUUUUUUAAGGAGUGCGGGGACAGUGUUGGUCGAAAUGGAAUCUCACAAGUCGCUUUUCGAGGUUGGGAAACGUGGAGGAAGGAUAACAUUCAACGACCCAAAAUAGAUCCACAAGUAACAAGGCCACAUUGGUUGGAGAAGAACGUACUCUCCCAUAUUGACAGGAACUUAGAUCUUUCACAACAGAACCGACAAUGACUGAAAAUGAAAUUUUUGCAAAGCUUUAAUCUAGUGCAAUAGGGUUCUUUAUUUUCUCGCGUCUAUGUUGUCGUCAAAAAGAUUAUUUGAGAAGCCAUGGGCUGUUCGAAUUCUUGUUCCCAGUCCCACACACUCCCAAGAGACCUUUCGUCCGUCCUUGUAAAGCAGAGAGCAAAACAUCAAGAAAUCAACUCCAAGGCUCCUGGUCUAAAGUGAAAUGGAAUCUCCGCCUUCACUAUGUCCAGCGAGUGUACCUAUGGAGGGGAGGAGUGGCAAUGAUCCACAAGCGAGUGUUGGUAUGCUGUCUGGAAUUCCAGACAGCCUCUCGAGCUUGACUGAGAAUAGUUCAGGAAACCCUCGUUCAAAUGGGUGUUCAAGCAAGAAUUCGAGGGUGGUGAGAAGACAAGUCUUCAUCGAGACUAUACGAAUACGAGAGUGGUUACUAGUUUAGGCAACUCCAACUGACAGAGCGGGAAGAAACGAAAGCGAAGUAAUAGGAGUGAUUGUAUGUCGUUGAGUUUUCAUGAUAAGUUUCUAAAGGGUUUUCCACAUAAAUAUAAAUUUAAGCUGUAAAUGUAAAAGAUUUGUAAAGAAUUUGCUCCAUUAAAUGAAUUUGCUCCAUUCAAUUUUCUCUCAGAUCUUAAGAGUUUUCAGCUGCGUAUAAAAUGAAAAGAUCUCACACGACGGCGAACACAUCUCAUCAAGAUGGAGUUCGUUACCUCCUCAAACGUUCAAUAUGAAGUCGUUGUUUACUUACAUGUUUCACCCUUGUGAUCUGAGAGAAUGUGCAAACUACAAAACGUUCUACUGCGAUUACUUCUUGCUUUGGGGAGCCAAAAGAAAUGGAAACUCAAGUAAUCGCCUCUUAAAAUUU